UACGUAGGGUGCAAGCGUUGUCCGGAAUUAUUGGGCGUAAAGAGCUCGUAGGCGGUCUGUUACGUCGGCUGUGAAAACCUGGGGCUCAACCCCGGGCCUGCAGCCGAUACGGGCAGACUAGAAUUCGGUAGGGGAGACUGGAAUUCCUGGUGUAGCGGUGAAAUGCGUAGAUAUCAUUUGGAACGCCAACGGCGAAAGCAGGCAACUGGGGAUGCACCGACGCUGAGACACGAAAGCCAGGGGAGCGAACGGG
rnacentral:rRNA from 1 species